AUGCUUGGCUAUGGAAAGGACUCACACUCCCACAGAGUCUUCAACCUCUAUCUCUACAAAAUCGUCGAAACUGUGGACGUGAGAUUUGAUGAAACCAAUGGUUCACAAACAGAACUCCUGCCAAGUACACUAGAUGAAGCUCCUCCAAGCGAAUCUAUCAAGCUAAUGGGAACUGGUGAAAUCAUGCCUUCUGAAGCACAACCUGAAGAGGAACUUAUCAUUUCCGCACCAAAUCAACCUGAAGACAAUGCUCAGACCGAAGACAAUCCUCCCAAUGAUGACAAUGAUCAGCAAGAGCAAAGUCUUCGUCCGGUUCAUCCUCGUGUUGCAAAUGAAGUACCAAUUGAGAAGAUAAUUGACAGCAUAAUUGCGCCUGGUCCACUUACUCGCUCAAGAGCAACACAGUUAGCAAACUUUUGUGGGCACUUUUCAUUUGUGUCAAUAUCAAAACCCAAGAAAGUUGCUGAAGCUUUUAUGGAACCUGAAUGGAUUCAAGCUAUGCAAGAAGAACUUCAACAGUUCAAGCUAAACAAUGUUUAG
rnacentral:rRNA from 1 species